CUUUUGCAACUGCCACUCUGCACUGAGAGGGAUUUAGAAAUUUUAGCUGUUUCUGAUAACUGAGGACAAAGGAAUGAAGAAGUGGUACUAAAUUCAGUGAAGGAGAAAACGUGCAUCAUUACCCAAUGUAACACUUCAAGAAUGGACAAGAGCAAAAGACAAGGUGACAUUCAGUGAGAUGGAGAGUGUCAAACGUCCAUCUGAUGCAGAAGAAAUGCUCUCUCUGGAAUGCCAGAUGAUUCUGUGGAAGCUGCUGCCAGAGAAGAUCACGGUGACCAAACCUUUGUAGGUGAUCUGACACACAGAUGAGUAACUAGGAGACAAACUUACAACAAAUGAUGAUAGCAGUUUUGAAAAAACUAAUUUAAUGUUUUAAGAGUUUGAAAAAUGUCUAGUUUGAGUACUUAUGAAAGGGUAGACUAAUGCUCACUACGGAGUUUUCAAACUGUAGCUCUGGUUUAGAGGGACUUUGCAUCUGAGCUGGU